GGGGAAGAGAAGAGGAGAGAGGUCCAUACCGCUGCACAGUGAGGACAAGCUGAUUUCCUGAGGCAUCGAUGAGGCUCAUGGCACUGGCAUGGGAGAGGUUGGUGCAAGAGACCCCAUUGAUUGCCAAGAGCUGGUCCCUCUCUCGGAGUCCUGCUCUGCCAGCCUGGCUCCGUCUUCGAAUCUGAGAUGUUGAAGGAGACACUGUAGGGACCUCGCGCUGACAUCUGGGAAAUGCCAUUCAUACUGGAACCUCCGACACACUGCCAUGAAUGUGAGGGUUUCGUGACUGAUGGGGAGACUGCAGUCAAAUAAAACAGAUACUACACGCACUCGUCGGGGCAGCCGUACUGCAGAAGCACGUUGAUGCACUCCUGGCUGGAGGCCUGCCGGGCGUAGGUCAGCGCUGUGUUCCCGUGGGCAUCUCGGGCCAUGACGUCCACC
rnacentral:lncRNA from 1 species